rnacentral:misc_RNA from 1 species
AACGCACAUUGCGCCCGCGAGUAUUCUCGCGGGCAUGCCUGUUCGAGCGUCAUUUCAACCAUCAAGCCCCCGGCUUGUGUUGGGGACCUGCGGCUGCCCGCAGGCCCUGAAAUCCAGUGGCGGGCUCGCUGUCACACCGGGCGUAGUAGAUUUUAUCUCGCUCAGGGCGUGCUGCGGGUUCCGGCCGUUAAAAAGCCUUUUUUACCCAAGGUUGACCUCGGAUCAGGUAGGAAUACCCGCUGAACUUAA